UGGUGGUUCAUCUUAGCUGUUGCUGCUGCUGCCGUUGUUGUCGUCAUCGUCAUCGGUGGUAAUUACCUCUUUAUAAAAUGUAACAAGAAGAAGAGUUUGAAUAAACUGACUGGGCAUGACUCUGGUGAAGAUGAGACCAAUGAGACCAGUAUCCCUCUUACAACAAUCACAAUAAACCAUCAUGAAACAUAAACAUUUUUCAUGAGAAGGAUGUCAGACUGAUGAAUGUCUCAAGACCUCAGGAUGGUUUGCAUCUGUGGAGACCUGAUUUCAGAGAAGAAAGAAAAAAAACAAAAGAAACAACCAACACUGAACUUUCUUCAUCUUGUCCCAGUAUUUAUUAUUUUCACCUGUUGGCGUCAAACAAGAUCCAGGUGAAUUAUGACUUGGACGACACCAAAAACCAACAGUCUCUUUCUGAUGCUUCUGUGAAAUGUUG